AGAAAAUCCCCUGAUGUGGAUGGGGUGACCUUAGCCAGGUGGAUGCUGGGAUCCGGAUCCCCCCUCUGCUCCCUGCUGAAGGCACAGGCAUCAUCCUGUGAAAGAUGGGAAAUGGAGCAUGACAGAUGUGGGACCUGGCUGCACAGUGCUGGGCCAGCUCCUCCUGGAACACCCAGCGUUGUAUUUUAGGGAGUAACGGAAGAGGAUUGUAUCCUGAUGGUGGUGUCUUAGAGAGGAAGGAUGGGGAAAGCAUGUGCUGGAUGCCGACCGGCA